GAGGCUGCAAUCUCGGCACUUUGGGAGGCCAAGGCAGGCGGCUGCUCCUUGCCCUCGGGCCCCGCGGGGCCGUCCGCUCCUCCAGCCGCUGCCUCCCGGGCGGCGCUCGCCGGCGCGGCGGCAAAGACUGAGACAGCUCCGCUGCCCGCUGAACUCCAUCCUCCCGGCGGUCGGGCGGCGGCGGCUGCGGUCGGUCGCGGCAGCGGCUCCGCUUCAUAUCUGCAGCUGGGGCUCGCGGGCGUCAGCGCCGCGACUGUCCCGGCUCCGCACUGCCCCGCGCCGCAGCGCAGCCGCGCCAACCACCACCCGCGGCCACCAUGGCCGGACGGGCUCCCUAAGCCCAACUUUUCAAGAAUAGUCAGUACAAUAAGAUAUAAAUAGAAACAACAAAAAGUUAAAAAGCAGGAGAACGAAAUUAAGGCUCAACACCACAUGGAAACUGCCAAGGCUUGAGACUUGCAGCAUCUGAAGCCACGGCCCAAGCUCUACAUUGGCCCCUUUCAUCCAUGGCUGGAGUGGCUGCAACCUACGGCACCAAGCCCCUAAGCUGCAGACAGCAUGGGCACCCUGGGCUUGGCCCAGGAAACCACUUUUUCCUCCUAGGCCUCUGGGCCUGUGAUCAGAGGGGCUGCUGUGAAGACCUCUGACAUGCCCUGGAGCCAUUUUCCCCAUUGUCUUGGGGAUUAAUAUUUGACUCCUUAUUAAUUAUGCAGAUUUCUGCAGGCUUGCAUUUCUCCUCAGAAAAUUGAUUUUUCUUUUCUAUCGCAUUGUCAGGCUGCAAAUUUUCUGAACUUUUAUACUCUGCUUUCCUAAUAAAACUGAAUGCCUUUAACAGCA
rnacentral:lncRNA from 1 species